AUUGAACGCUGGCGGAAUGCUUUACACAUGCAAGUCGAACGGCAGCACGGACUUCGGUCUGGUGGCGAGUGGCGAACGGGUGAGUAAUGUAUCGGAACGUGCCCAGUCGUGGGGGAUAACGUAGUGAAAAUUACGCUAAUACCGCAUACGAUCUAUGGAUGAAAGCGGGGGAUCGCAAGACCUCGCGCGAUUGGAGCGGCCGAUAUCAGAUUAGGUAGUUGGUGGGGUAAAGGCCCACCAAGCCAACGAUCUGUAGCUGGUCUGAGAGGACGACCAGGCACACUGGAGCUGAGACACGGUCCGGACUGCUACGGGAGGCAGCAGUGGGGAAUUUUGGACAAUGGGCGUAAGCCUGAUCCAGCCAUUCCGCGUGCAGGAUGAAGGCCCUCGGGUUGUAAACUGCUUUUGUACAGAACGAAAAGGUUUCUACUAAUACUAGGAGCUCAUGACGGUACUGUAAGAAUAAGCACCGGCUAACUACGUGCCAGCAGCCGCGGUAA
rnacentral:rRNA from 1 species